rnacentral:snRNA from 1 species
GGAUGUGAGGGCAAUCUGGCUGCGACAUCUGUCAUCCCAUUGAUCGCCGGAGUUAAUUGGCUGAUCCAGCUGGCUAGGUGGGUGACCCCUCCCUCCCUCACCACUCCAUGUAUGUCCCUCCCACAGCUGUGCACUUGGUGGAAGAGGACGACCUUCCCACCAAUAGAGGGGGACCAGUCUUCAGUCAAGGGUCUACAAGUAGCUGCGCUCCCCUGCUAGAACCUCCAAACGAGCUCUCAAGAAAAGUCAUAGGACUUCAACACUUGUUUUUAAGUUUUCUUUUCAGUGGAGAGAGUAGAUCCUGUACCGCCCUCUUCCACGGACCUGCCUUCUUGCGGUAUGCAUCAUU